GGGGAUGCUCUUGUACUCUUGGUUGCUCUAAACAGCUAGGGUUCAUUGUCCAACACUUCAAUUUUUUACCGCCGGUCCGCCGCUGCUUUCACUACCCAGGACUACCAUCGGCAAUCGUCCAUAACUGCGACGCCGAAGCUGACUGCGCCGGACGCCGGUCACUCGGUGCCUCAAUCGGACGCCCAGGACUCGAACCGGCGAUUUUGCUUCCUCCAAUCAUCUUCGGCUCCCUACAUAGCCGUUAACAUCUGUUAUUUCGGAUUCUAACCAAAAGGUCUCGACAUCAAUGAAUCUACGGAGGAUCUGAAAAGGACAGCCUUCGUAUACCGAGUUCAGAUAAAUUUGAGUGAACGGAGGUGGUAUAGCAAUGGGACAGCAACGACCGACGACGCGCAGUAAAAACAAAAGGAAUAGAGCUGAUGAUAAUGCUGAUGCUAUUUCUGAAACUUUCAGGAAAGUUCUUUCUACUGGACAGGUAACUCAAGAUGAUGUAAAUCAACUAUACAUGGUAUGGAGGCCUGUGUGUCAAGGAUGCCGAGUCAACAGCAAGGAUAAUCCCAACUGCUUUUGUGGAUUGAUUCCACCACCAAAUGGAAGUCGAAAAGUUGGUUUAUGGCAGAAGACAUCUGAAAUUGUCCAUUCCCUUGGGCCUGAUCCAUCUGAUGACCUUCGUGCAUCCCCAGACACACCAGCAGGCCUCACUAACCUUGGUGCGACAUGCUAUGCGAACAGUAUACUCCAAUGUCUGUACAUGAAUAGGUCAUUCAGGGAAGGUGUUUUCUCAGUUGAACCUGAGGUGUUGAAAGGAGAUCCAGUAUUGGACCAACUUGCACGAUUAUUUGCUAAGUUACACUUGAGCAAAAUGGCUUUUGUUGAUUCUGCUCCAUUUAUCCAGACUCUUGAGCUUGAUAAUGGUGUUCAGCAGGAUAGUCAUGAGUUCCUGACAUUGCUUUUUUCUUUGCUUGAACGAUGUUUAAGCUGCUCUAAAGUAUCCAAGGCUCGAACAAUUGUCCAAGAUCUUUUCCGUGGAGGUGUGUCACAUGUCACAAUGUGCUCAAGAUGUGGAAAUGAAUCUGAAGCAUCAUCAAAAAUAGAGGACUUCUAUGAGCUGGAGUUGAAUGUUAGGGGUUUGAAGAGUUUAGAUGAUAGUUUGGAUGACUAUCUUAGCAUAGAGGAGCUUGAAGGAGAUAACCAAUAUUAUUGUGAGUCAUGUGCUACUCGAGUCAAUGCUACCCGUAGCAUUAAACUGCGCUCUCUCCCUGCAGUCCUUAAUUUCCAGCUCAAGCGUUGUGUUUUCCUUCCAAAUACUACAACAAAGAAGAAGAUCACAUCGGCAUUUUGUUUUCCUGAGGAAUUGAAUAUGGCACAAAGAAUAUCCGACCAUUUGCAACCAGAUUUAGUGUAUGACUUGUCAGCCAUAUUGAUCCACAAGGGCUCUGCAGUUAAUAGUGGCCACUACAUAGCACUUAUUAAAAAUGAGAAAACAGGGCAGUGGUGGGAAUUUGAUGAUGAGCAAGUGUCCAACUUAGGUUCUCAACCAUUUGGGGGAGGCUCCUCUAAUUCUGCUGUUAAACCUGCUCAAACUGAGCCCCCUCUCCACACAUCUGCCUCUGAACAAAUGGAUGUUAUAGUAAAUGGAAAAAAUGUGAAUGGUGGUCAGCAAAGGUCUUUGAACACCAAUGUCGUUUGUAAUGCCAAGACAUUCUCAUCCAGUGAUGCAUACAUGCUGAUGUAUGCUCUUAGGAGUGCACGCGAAGGUGUUGAGGCAACAAAUAAUGAGACUGGUGGGGAAGAACUGAAAAGUAAUUCUUAUAAAUUUUCUUUUGGAACUGAUAGUCCUCUUCCAUCCCAUCUUCAUGAAGAGGUUGAUCAACUGAAUGUUGAGUUCCUUGAGUCUUGCAAUCAAUAUAGAGAAAGGAAGGAAACUGAACUCAAGCGCAUCACUGAGCGGCGGCAGGAGGUGCGCUCAAUUCUUUCUGAAGUGCCAGUUCAAUCACUUUGGAAGCCAUAUUUUUGGAUUUCUACUGACUGGCUUCGUCAAUGGGCUGAUAGCAUCACACCACCAAUAAUAGACAACAUUGCCAUACAAUGCAAGCAUGGGAAAGUGCCAGUUUCAAAGGUGAACGCAAUGAAAAGGUUGUCACAAACAUCUUGGGCCAUGCUAUUAUCUAAGUAUGGUGGAGGUCCAACACUGGCUAAUGAUGACCAUUGCAUGGAAUGCCUCUUUGAAAUGGCUCGCACAAUGGCUCGUGCAGACAGCUAUAGGGAUCGGACAGCACUUAUGAAAGAUCUAGCAGAGGCAGCCCUUGCAGGGAAGUGUCUCGAUGGCAAGUUGUUCUAUAUAUCAAAGUCAUGGUUGCAGCAGUGGCUUCGGAGGAAGAAUGUAGACUCUCCAUGUGAAGCUGAUGCUGGGCCUACAGCAUCGAUUAGAUGUCCCCAUGGGGAGCUAUUGCCUGAACUAGCUCCUGGUGCCCGUCGUGCACUAAUUCCUGAAAACCUAUGGAAUUUUAUUCAUGAGACUGCUAUGGCUGUAAAGCCUGGUGAUACCUUGGGCUCUUCAACUUUCUCUUCAGAUUCAGAGCCAUGUGCCCAAUGCAGUAUUGAACUUUCGGAACAUGCAUGCUUGGAAGAUAACCUAAGAGAGUUCAGAAUUAAACAACGACAAAGUCAUGAGAGAUUAGCAGCUGGUAAAAGUAUAGCACUUUAUCCAAGCAACAAGUACUACUUGGUGCCUUCUCAUUGGCUGUCAAAAUGGAGAAGCUAUAUUAGUGCAACUGGGAAGAAUUCUUCUGCUGAACUUGAAACCUUGGGCUCAGCCAUGGAUUUACUCACGUGUGAAAAGCAUUAUAGACUUCUAGAAAGGCCUCCUGAACUGAUUUGGAAGCGUGGUGUUAUUCACCAGAAGACACCCACUACAGAUGGAUUGACCAUUGUUAGUGAGAAUGACUGGAAGCUAUUCUGUGAAGACUGGUGUGGUUUAGAGGCAAGAGGAAUUGUUGCUGAAAUUGAAUGCGUGGAAAAUGAUUUGGUCAUAUCUUGUGAUGAGAUGCCAUUAUCUGAAGAUCAUAUGACUGUGGAUGGUGAACCGAAUAUUGGGAUUGAAUCUAGAAAACCUAUCAUUAAGACUUUGCCAGAGGUAUGUGAAGAGUGUAUUGGCGAAAAGGCAAGCUGUGAGUUGCUGAAAAAACUCAACUAUUCCAAUGAGGACAUAUGUGUUUGUUUCAUUCGUGGCAAGGAACCUCCUAAAUCAAUUUUAGAAGCAUCCGGGAAUAGUUUGGAGCCAAAUCGACGAACUUCAAAGCGGUCCAGGAAGACAUCAUUUGGCAACUCUGUAAAUUUAAACGUUUCUGGAUCCACAUCAAUCUACCAACUGAAGAUGAUGAUAUGGGAAGCCUUUGGGGUUGUCAAGGAAAACCAGGUACUUCACAAAGGUUCUAGGAUAAUUGAUGUGGAAUCUGCAUGUCUUGCUGAUUUGGAAAUAUUUCCUGGUGAUGUUCUAUGGGUGACUGAUUCGGAGAUCCAUGAGAAUCGGGAUAUUGCUGAUGAGCUUUCUGAUCAUAAGAUGGAGGUGCACAAGGCUGAGGAAGGUUUUCGUGGAACACUUCUUACAUCAAGUGUAUCUUCCCAGGUUUCAGAAGCAUGCUUGAAUUAGUGAAGAUCCGCAUGCUUGUAAUAUUCUUAAUUUUGGAAUGUGAAGAAGGUACAGUUCUGGAGAUGGCUGGCUCGUGCACUGCAAGGGAAGUCCCAUGUUGACAUUGACUAGCUUGCUUGGGUAAAAACAUCAUGUUUUUGGGUGGUUUUUCGACCUUAGAGUAUGGUUGUUUCCAGUUUAACCUUGUUACCUGCUCAGUUCUUUUUUGGCUGCCAGAUUGUUAAUGCAGGUAUUAGUUAUAAUGAAGGGUGAGGUUUGGUUUGGGGUCCCCUCUUGGGACAAGUUUUGUAUAUUAACUUUCUACCUUACCUUUGACAGUCAACUGUAAAUGAUGUAUUUUAUGGUUUUGGUAAAUAUAAAUUGUUACACUUUCGAUUCAA